CCUAGCUAGGUGCCAGUCUAAUUUGCCUCCUCUCCUCUCCUCUCCUCUCCUCUCCUCUACCCGAAAACUGAAACUUUAUCUGGUACGUAUCCCGUCAACCUUACACAAAAAAUAAUACUAUGUAUACGCUUCCCGGACCAAUACGGCUUCAUUCCCAUCUCCUCCAGCCACCCAUGCCCUCUCCUCCUCCUUCGCGUGCGUGCGAGCAGGCGUCACGAUCGGUGGAUAUCAGGCUGCUUCUGGGCUCAUCAACGUGGACACGGGGCCUGCAAGUGAGGGGAAUGUUCUUGUCAAUUGUCGAGGAGACAUGAUUGAGUUGUACCAUUGAUUAGAGCACACAUGUUUGUUUCAACACAGCAUUAUACAACAGGAGCGCUGAAAUUAGCCACGGCAGCAGACCGUACGGCGUUAAAAAUGGGCCACACGAUCGAGUACACCAUGGCAACUCCUCGGAAGCUACUAUUCACCGAUGAAACAAACACAUGCAUACAGCCAAUGAGUUCAGGCCAACUGCAUGCAUGCAUGCUGCUAAAGUUGCGUGUGGAUAACCUGUUUACCUACAGGACUAACAUUGCACAACACAACCUUUUUCCCCCGAAGACCCAUGAAGAUGCGUGCACCGUAAUGGAGAAUUCAUGGCUGCCUGAAAAAAAAAAGUUUUGGGGCUACAAAACUGUUUGCAUGAAUCAACAGAAAAGGCAAUCAUAUGUUGAGUUUAUUUUAUCAUUGGCAAUUAUUUGGUCUAUUGAGACUGACUCCAGAUCUAUAAUUCAUGUUGUUUUGGACAACAGUGUGGUCGAAUUUUUAAAAAUUUUGAUUAUCAACAAAUUUUAAAUAUUUCAUUUGAAAUACUAUGAAAACAUAUCUAUAAAUUGUCAAAAAAUGUAUUUUAAUAAAAAGCAAGAUAUUUGCUUAAUUUUUAUAUUUUUUAUUAAAAAAUCAUAUUAUCAUUGUUCAAAACAACAAUAAUUAUCAACAUGGAGAGUAUCAAAUAUAGAAAUUAAAGAAGAAAAAUGUAGAUAGAUCUCUGGAAAUAAAUGCAGACAAACAUGACAUUUUUGUUUGUUGAUCUCUAAUUAAUAUAGAUCACCUAGGGCUGUUAGGAAAAGCCAUAAGCAUUUUUUAAAAAAAAACUAGUGCAGCAAAAAUUGAUUGCUUAUAAGACAGUUGGUGGCUCCUUUACUAACAUGGAGGCCCAUAAAUAGAGCAUGCAGAUCAUGUCCAUGAAAAAAAAGUAAAAAAGACAAUUGGUUGGCAUCAGGACCAAAAGGGUCCACAUAAUCUGCAAGUUUGUACCAAUUCAAUGCUAGAUACCGAACAAAAAAGAGGGACGUAAGUCACGUAAGCAAUGGCAAUUUCUGGACUUUGCAUUGAGUCGUGCAGUUGAUUUCAGAAUUGUUAACGAAGUUUGUACCGCUGAAAUUAAAUUUCUAAUAAGCACAUAGUGAUAUUAACUGUUGAGAGUGGAUUAAGUGCUAAGCAUAAGCAAUGGGGGUGAUUAUUUGGGUUUUCAUGGAAAAAGCCAAACAAAAUAUUUGCAAACAAAAAAUAAUUUUUAAAUAAAAUUUUUAUAUACGUAUUUUUAGCGAUCUAAAAGCCAAUGGUGAAAAAUAAACUUUGGUGAAAACCUUAAAAUUAACUCUAAAUUUAAGAUUGAAAAUUCUAAUUUUGUCCUAUAAGUAUAAAAAUAAGUGAAAAGAUAGGGGUGGAAAUAUGCCUUUAAUUAAAAAACGGUUAUACAUUUACAGGUUAUCCCUCUUCUUCAGAAAAAAAAAGGAAACUCAGAAGCUCUGAUAUAAUCUUGUAGUCCGUAACAAAACCUACAAUGAUCAAUUUGUGACUAUUUCUUUGAUGUCUGAUUCUAUACUGAUCAAGUGAUCAGUGUCAGUGCUCGCAUACGUCAAAAGUGCUCAUAUGUAAGUCCCCUUACCAGUAAUGAAAGUCGACCACCAAGCAGUGGCCCAAAUGGAAAACAAGUAAUGAAGUUAUUCAAAACUGUAGCACUUGUCGUAGCAUUGCAUCAAAUGAAGCAGGCAUUCAGGAUAGACCACCCAAAGCAUAACUUAGAAUGGGACAAUUACAUUAAUUUGCCUAAAUUACUAAUCAAAUGCUUAUGAUGAUUACAGAACAUAAUUCAGUUUUAUAAGCAUAAACCUGUCAACUCUUAAUAAAAAUAAAGCACCACUUCAGGGCAUAUUGCUGAUGAAAACCAUAGUGUGAUUAUCCUAGAAUCAUGACCUAACUCUCCCAAGAUUUGGCAUCUAAGACAAUUGUUUAACAAAGUACUAAAGCUUUUCUCUUCUUUUGAGAGAGAGAGAGAGAAGCAACAUGAAAGCAUGGCAUCUAGUAUUAAAAAUCAUAGGCACGAGAUCAGGCACUUGUUUGAGCGCGUACGCUCAAAGUGAACGCACAGUAGUUAUGAGAUGGCAGCUCAUCCAUAAAAUGUAUGAAGUACUUGUGCUGCGCAACCAAAUCUACGUCCACCAAACCCAAACUAUGGUACUAUGGACUAUUAGAGCCUGAGCAAAGAUGAUAAAUAGUAGUCACCUUAAAAUAUACUAGCUCACGUAUGACAAGUUACCCACAAAUUAGCGGGAUCUAAGUAUCUAGCCGCCUAGUAGCUAGCCAAAUGGAGUAAUUAACUCGUCCAAUGUUUCCUAAUACCAUAAUAGAAAAAGAAAAUUUGGCCCUCCGCAUAGCCAUGUAAUAACAAAUUACACCGUUCAUUUUGCAAUGUACAUAUAUAUGAUAUAUGUACCAUUACUAUAUAGCUAGCUUAGUAGUUUUAUUAUUGUAGAGUCUACUCAUAGUGAGCCUAGCCUGAACCUUGAAACAAGAACUAAUGAACUAUAUACGACUUCUUUUGUGUUGUUUCCUAGCUCUUACUACCUCUGUCUCUCUCCAAGAAAACGCCUCGCUACCUCACAGCAUGAACAACUCAACAAACUUCAAGAACAGCAAAAGAGCAAGAAAACCGAGUGCAACGCAGUAACCAUGGGAAUCUAUCUAGCAGCUGCUCACCUUCCCCUCCGAGUCCACAUCGCGCUCCUUCCUUAGGAGGCCAUGGAGGCCUUGAGGAGGCCCGGCGGCCGACCCCAUCCGCGGCCAUUUACUCGGUCGGUCCUCGACGUCCUCCCGCUUGCUUGAGCUCUUGUGUCUCCGAAAGCCAGGAGGAGCAAACAAGUGGGCGCAAGGAAGAAGGGUUAAAACCAAGCAAAGAAAAGGAGGGCGGUCUACUCUUGUG
rnacentral:lncRNA from 1 species